UGAUGCUUAUGCUUUCGUAAAUAAAAGUAUUCUAGGGUCACAAAGGUCUGCAGCAUAAACAGGGGCACAGACACUGCCUGGAGAAGUGCCAGAGUGGUUUAAACAUAUAGGAAGAUAAUUUUAAUGGCAGAACUUUGUCAAAGGAAGUCACCUUGAGAGGAUGCAAUGGGCUUUUCUUCACAAAGACAAGCUGGGAACUGCAGGCAAAGAAGGGCGGGCUGGUUGGGAUGGCAGGGCACCAGCUAACCUUCCAUUGGGAAACUGAGGAGGAAGGACUGUACCAGCUGUACCACCUCUCCGCUCUGAUUGACGGCAGUGAUGCUCCCACAGGGAAGCUGUGCCUCCAGGUUCAGCCAGCAAUUACAGAACAAACAAAGGAGAAGUGGAAUGGAGAAAUGAUUCACGGGAAUAGAAACCAAAAGAGAACUGGGAGGUGAUGCCAAACCGGGCUGACGGCAAAACUUUCAUUUGUUUAUGCUGAAAAUGUGCAGACAGCACUGUGCAUCUCUUCGGUGUGUAAGUUAACGGUGUGCUUUGCCAUCUGCAAGGAAGGACCUGGGGGAGAGAAAUGGCUUUGUGCUUCACAGCCAACAACAUGGAAAGAUCCAGCCUGGUAACUCUGAUGGCUCCAUCAGUAUCUGAAAUAAGCUUUCAUAUUUCAAUGUAAAAAAAAAAAAAAAA
rnacentral:lncRNA from 1 species